AUAAUAUUAAAGAGACCCAGUCUGGAAAAGACCUAAUCCCAAGAGCAAAAUAUUUUAAUGCCCUGUGAAUGUUUCCUGUUGUAGAACAAAUUAAGAAUGUGAAUCAAACAUUUUCUACAAACAUCUCAUUCAUAAUGAUAACUUAAAUGGUAGAAAAUGAAUAAUAUACUAUAAAUCCACAAGGGUUAACAGAAUGGAAGAAGAGACAUCAGGUAUGGAAACUGGAUUGGGGGGUAGAGGUAAAUGAUUUACAAAGAAAUGAUUUUUUUUUUUUUUGGGGUGCCAAAGGCCAACAAGAGAAUUAUAGGACUGAGGUUGUGGCUCAGCGGUAGAGUGCUCGCCUAGCAUCCAUGCAGCACUGGGUUCGAUCCUCAGCACCACAUAAAUAUAAAGAUUAUUUCCACCUAUAACUAAAAAAUAAAUAUUUUUUUUAAAAAAGAAUUAUGCUAGGUGGAAAAAAAGGAGUACCUACUGGAUUCCACUUAUGAAAAAGGUUUAGAAAACAUAAACAUAAUUAGAAACAGAAAGCAUAUCAGUGGUUAUCUGGGUAUGAAGGGUUGGGGGUAAG
rnacentral:lncRNA from 1 species